GUCGGAGGUGUUCGGAAAGUUGCUCGACACUCACGGCCUUGUCGGGGCUGGGUGUGCCUUCCCCUGGGUCGAUCUUGUUCUAAAACAUUGUUAAAAAAAGGGGAUAAAACUUAGUAUAUCGUAACCACACAACAUCCAAGAUGAAUUGAGGUAACCCGGGGCUUACCUAACCGGAGAAGGAUCAAGAGAAUUGGCCAGAGAGUUCCUGGGUUCCACUGUCCUAGCUGCACCGAGAGAAAGAGAGAGAAAGACGAGGUUUAGAUGGUGAUGAUGAUGCCGUUGACGGAGUACUACGAAGGGUGUGCGGUGACUGGGUGUGUGUGUGUGUUCG
rnacentral:lncRNA from 1 species